UACGUAGGGUGCAAGCGUUGUCCGGAAUUAUUGGGCGUAAAGAGCUCGUAGGCGGUCUGUCGCGUCUGCUGUGAAAACUCGGGGCUUAACCCCGGGCCUGCAGUGGGUACGGGCAGACUAGAGUGCGGUAGGGGAGACUGGAAUCCUGGUGUAGCGGUGAAAUGCGCAGAGAUCAUGAGGAAGACCAGUGGCGAAGGCGGGUCUCUGGACAGUUCCUGACACUGAGGCACGAAGGCCAGGGGAGCAAACGGG
rnacentral:rRNA from 1 species